AACGAACGCUGGCGGCAUGCCUAACACAUGCCAGUCGAACGAGACCUUCGGGUCUAGUGGCGCACGGGUGCGUAACGCGUGGGAAUCUGCCCUUGGGUUCGGAAUAACAGUUGGAAACGACUGCUAAUACCGGAUGAUGACGUAAGUCCAAAGAUUUAUCGCCCAGGGAUGAGCCCGCGUAGGAUUAGCUAGUUGGUGGGGUAAAGGCCUACCAAGGCGACGAUCCUUAGCUGGUCUGAGAGGAUGAUCAGCCACACUGGGACUGAGACACGGCCCAGACUCCUACGGGAGGCAGGAGUGGGGAAUAUUGGACAAUGGGCGAAAGCCUGAUCCAGCAAUGCCGCGUGAGUGAUGAAGGCCUUAGGGUUGUAAAGCUCUUUUACCCGGGAUGAUAAUGACAGUACCGGGAGAAUAAGCCCCGGCUAACUCCGUG
rnacentral:rRNA from 1 species